AAGAGGAGGAGGAAGAGGA
rnacentral:snRNA from 1 species